rnacentral:rRNA from 1 species
GAGUUUGAUCUUGGCUCAGAACGAACGCUGGCGGCAUGCCUAACACAUGCAAGUCGAACGGGAUCCGAACUUCGGUCCGGUGAGAGUGGCGGACGGGUGAGUAACGCGUGGGAACCUGCCCAAUGGUCUGGGAUAACCGCGGGAAACUGCGGCUAAUACCGGAUAAGCCCGAGAGGGGAAAGAUUUAUCGCCGAUGGAGGGGCCCGCGUCCGAUUAGGUAGUUGGUGAGGUAACGGCUCACCAAGCCGACGAUCGGUAGCUGGUCUGAGAGGAUGAUCAGCCACACUGGGACUGAGAUACGGCCCAGACUCCUACGGGAGGCAGCAGUGGGGAAUAUUGGACAAUGGGGCAACCCUGAUCCAGCAAUGCCGCGUGAGUGAUGAAGGCCUUAGGGUUGUAAAGCUCUUUUGGCGGGGACGAUGAUGACGGUACCCGCAGAAUAAGCCCCGGCUAACUUCGUGCCAGCAGCCGCCGUAAG